rnacentral:rRNA from 1 species
UACCAGCUCUCCGAGUGGUGUGGAUGUUUAUUGGGCCUAAAGCAUCCGUAGCUGGCUGGACAAGUCCCCUGUUAAAUCCACCGAUUUAAUCGUUGGUGUGCGGGGGAUACUGUUCGGCUAGGGGACGGGAGAGGCAGACGGUAUUUUCGGGGUAGGGGUGAAAUCCUAUAAUCCCGGGAAGACCACCAGUGGCGAAGGCUGUCUGCUAGAACGCGCCCGACGGUGAGGGAUGAAAGCUGGGGGAGCGAACCGGAUUAGAUACCCGGGUAGUCCCAGCUGUAAACGAUGCAGGCUAGGUGUUUGGACGGCCACGUGCCGUUCUAGUGCCGCAGGGAAGCCGUUAAGCCUGCCGCCUGGGGAGUACGGCCGCAAGGCUAGAAACUUAAAGGAAUUGGCGGGGGAGCACCACAAGGGGUGAAGCUUGCGGUUU